rnacentral:lncRNA from 1 species
GUGUCACAUUUGGAUCAGGAAUUCUUCGAAGUUACUUUUUUUGGCUGGGUUUGUGUUGCUAAGUCUUUAUUGUUCUGUGCUGUGUUCCAUACAUUGACCUUUUUCGUUUGUUUGUGCGCUAUGGCAUUGUCAAUUUGUUUUCGACAUAAAUUUGAAUAUGUCUUUGGUAUGAUCUUCCGCUCUCCUUUAUGGCACAUUCAGCAGAAAAAAAGCCUAUGUAUUUAAUGCUGUUAUUAUCAGCAAGUACACAUGAACUAUUAUUCCAUGUAACAAUAAGUUUGAUUAAAAUGGGUGUUUUUUUUUCUCUUAAACUAUGUGGUCAUUCGUCUAAAUGUUAGCAGCUGU